rnacentral:misc_RNA from 1 species
UUUAACUAUUUAUAUAUCGCUCAGACUUCACUGUUUUGAAAGGUUUUGGUUGAGGCUCCUGGCAGACGCUCGUCGACGGGGACCGUGUGGACGGUCACAGCCGGCGGGGGCUUGCGCCCACGGCCUGCCAAAGCAACAGAGGUACGUAUUCACGGGGUGGGAGGUUCGGGCCACGAGGACCCUAACUCUUUAAUGAUCCCUCCGCAGGUUCACCUACGGAGA